GGUGGCUUUAGGUCAUGCGUUCAUCCGAGACCAAGUACAACCCAGGACCCCGGGGCCUGUGCAGGUCACUGUGCCUCUUCCAGCCUCGGUAUCCUCUGGAAGCUCCUGGCCCUGUUUUCCUGGGUCCUGUGUGGGCAGGGGCCUUAUGAAUGCACCAUCCAAGUGGAAAAGAUGGGCUCACCACACGAACGCAGCUUCCAGACACCUCCAGCUGUGUCUCCUCAGGACCCCUGCACAGAGGUCUGACAGCCCUGGCCUAGGCAGAACAUGGGCUCAGUGUGCUCCUGUGGACCCUGGUGGGAGCCCCAGGAGCCGUGGUGAUGGGAUGACCUUGACCUUGGACAUGCUGCCAAACAGCCCUGCACUUCAGUGCCCUCAGCUGCCAAAUGGGAUGACGCCCACACCUGUCACUCAGGGGUAUUGCGCAGAUUAAAUGAGUCAAUAUAUGGAACAGACUUAGAUCACCAGCCCUACGUAAGUGACCACAGAGACAAAUGUCUACAGUUUCCGAUGAUUUUAAUGGUCUUCAUUUUGUUUAU